UAAACUAGUCGGACUUGCUUGAAUCGAUAGGCUUACCGGACUUCUCUGUCUAUUCAAUUUAUUUUGUUGCAGACUCUUCCCCACGCCUAUUUCUUCCCCCGGCCCUGUAGUGGAGCUUGCCCCCCGCCCUAGGCCUAUUGAGAUCUUUCCCUGUGCAGGUAAAUUUGGGCUCAGGAGGGGAAUACCCGGUUCAUCGGAACUUC
rnacentral:lncRNA from 1 species